rnacentral:tRNA from 1 species
CAAAAAAUAGUCUAAUAAAGGAUAUAAAUUUUGGAGAUUUAAGGUAUUGAAUAAAUUUUUUUGA